UACGUAGGGUGCAAGCGUUAAUCGGAAUUUCUGGGCGUAAAGCGUGCGCAGGCGGUUUUGUAAGUCUGACGUGAAAUCCCCGGGCUCAACCUGGGAAUUGCGUUGGAGACUGCAAGGCUAGAAUCUGGCAGAGGGGGGUAGAAUUCCACGUGUAGCAGUGAAAUGCGUAGAGAUGUGGAGGAACACCGAUGGCGAAGGCAGCCCCCUGGGUCAAGAUUGACGCUCAUGCACGAAAGCGUGGGGAGCAAACAGG
rnacentral:rRNA from 1 species